rfam:Zea mays cultivar B73 chromosome 2, whole genome shotgun sequence.
UAUCUCCAACGACGAGAUUCUCUCUUAUCUCUUUGCAGGUCUUGAAGCUGAUUAUGAUGCUUUUGUGACCGCCAUGACCACAAAAACAGAGCCGCUCUCUCUUGAUGACACGUAUGCGCAUCUCCUCGUCUACGAGC